rnacentral:rRNA from 1 species
ACUCGAGUGGCGAACGGGUGAGUAACACGUGGGUGAUCUGCCCUGCACUUCGGGAUAAGCCUGGGAAACUGGGUCUAAUACCGGAUAGGAGCCAUUUUUAGUGUGAUGGUUGGAAAGUUUUUCGGUGUAGGAUGAGCUCUCGGCCUAUCAGCUUGUUGGUGGGGUAAUGGCCUACCAAGGCGGCGACGGGUAGCCGGCCUGAGAGGGUGGACGGCCACAUUGGGACUGAGAUACGGCCCAG